CUGCUGCCUCCCGUAGGAGUUUGGACCGUGUCUCAGUUCCAAUGUGGGGGACCUUCCUCUCAGAACCCCUACGCAUCGUCGGCUUGGUGGGCCGUUGCCCCACCAACUACCUAAUGCGCCGCAUGCCCAUCCGUGACCGGAGUCGCCCCCUUUGGCCGGAAAGGGAUGUCCCUUCCCGGCGUCAUGCUGUAUUAGGCGGGAUUUCUCCCGGUUAUCCAUCUGUCACGGCCAGGUUGCAUACGUGUUACUCACCCGUGCGCCGGUGCCGGCGG
rnacentral:rRNA from 1 species